rnacentral:rRNA from 1 species
AAACCAACCGGGAUUGCCCUAGUAACGGCGAGUGAAGCGGCAACAGCUCAAAUUUGAAAUCUGGCUCUUUUAGAGUCCGAGUUGUAAUUUGCAGAGGGCGCUUUGGCUUUGGCAGCGGUCCAAGUUCCUUGGAACAGGACGUCACAGAGGGUGAGAAUCCCGUACGUGGUCGCUGGCUAUUGCCGUGUAAAGCCCCUUCGACGAGUCGAGUUGUUUGGGAAUGCAGCUCUAAAUGGGAGGUACAUUUCUUCUAAAGCUAAAUAUUGGCCAGAGACCGAUAGCGCACAAGUAGAGUGAUCGAAAGAUGAAAAGCACUUUGGAAAGAGAGUCAAACAGCACGUGAAAUUGUUGAAAGGGAAGCGCUUGCAGCCAGACUUGCUUACAGUUGCUCAUCCGGGUUUCUACCCGGUGCACUCUUCUGUAGGCAGGCCAGCAUCAGUUUGGGCGGUAGGAUAAAGGUCUCUGUCACGUACCUCCUUUCGGGGAGGCCUUAUAGGGGAGACGACAUACUACCAGCCUGGACUGAGGUCCGCGCAUCUGCUAGGAUGCUGGCGUAAUGGCUGUAAGCGGCCCGUCUUGAAACACGGACCAAGGAGUCUAACAUCUAUGCGAGUGUUUGGGUGUCAAGCCCGAGCGCGUAAUGAAAGUGAACGGAGGUGGGAACCCGCAAGGGUGCACCAUCGACCGAUCCUGAUGUCUUCGGAAGGAUUUGAGUAAGAGCAUGGCUGUUGGGACCCGAAAGAUGGUGAACUAUGCUUGAAUAGGGUGAAGCCAGAGGAAACUCUGGUGGAGGCUCGCAGCGGUUCUGACGUGCAAAUCGAUCGUCAAAUUUGGGCAUAGGGGCGAAAGACUAAUCGAACUAUCUAGUAGCUGG